CGCGGGUUAGAGCAGAGGUUAGCUUGCCAGUUUGACUUACUGGAGGUCGGGGGUUCGAGUCCCUCACCCGCUACAA
rnacentral:tRNA from 1 species